rnacentral:rRNA from 1 species
UACGUAGGGGGCAAGCGUUGUCCGGAUUUAUUGGGCGUAAAGCGCACGCAGGCGGUCAAGGAAGUUCAGGGUGACAGUUCCCGGCUUAACUGGGGAAGUGCCUUGAAAACUCCUGGACUUGAGGGCUUCAGAGGGACACGGAAUUCCGGGUGUAGUGGUGAAAUGCGUAGAUAUCCGGAGGAACACCAAAGGCGAAGGCAGUGUCCUGGGAAGCAUCUGACGCUCAGGUGCGAAAGCUAGGGGAGCGAACGGG